UCCCUGGUAGCUCAGUCGGUAGAGUAGCGCACUGUUAAUGCGUGGGUCGCUGGUUCGAGUCCAGCUCGGGGAGCCA
rnacentral:tRNA from 2 species